CGGCGAACGGGUGAGUAACGCGUGGGCAACCUGCCUCAAGGACUGGGAUAACUCCGGGAAACCGGGGCUAAUACCGGGCGAUGUCGUCCCGCGCAAGCGGGCCGACCAAAUGGUAGCUUCGGCCUCCGCCUUGAGAUGGGCCCGCGUCCUAUCAGCUUGUUGGUGAGGUAACGGCUCACCAAGGCUUCGACGGGUAGCUGGUCUGAGAGGAUGAUCAGCCACACUGGGACUGAGAUACGGCCCAGACUCCUACGGGAGGCAGCAGUGGGAAUCUUGCGCAAUGGGCGAAAGCCUGACGCAGCAACGCCGCGUGAGCGAAGAAGGCCUUCGGGUUGUAAAGCUCUGUCAGGGGGAAAGAAGACACCUGGGUUAAUAGCCCAAGGGUUGACGGUACCCCCAAAGGAAGCCACGGCUAACUACGUGCCAGCAGCCGCGGUAAUACGUAGGUGGCGAGCGUUGUCCGGAAUCAUUGGGCGUAAAGAGCGCGUAGGUGGCUUGUCAGGUCCGGUGUGAAAUCCUGGAGCUUAACUCCAGGCGUGCAUCGGAAACCGGCUUGCUAGAGUCUGGGAGAGGAGAGUGGAAUUCCUGGUGUAGCGGUGAAAUGCGUAGAUAUCAGGAGGAACACCGGUAGCGAAGGCGGCUCUCUGGAACAGUACUGACACUGAGGCGCGAAAGCUAGGGGAGCGAACAGGAUUAGAUACCCUGGUAGUCCUAGCCGUAAACGAUGGACACUAGGUGUCGGGGGUGUCGACUCCCCCGGUGCCGAAGCUAACGCAUUAAGUGUCCCGCCUGGGGAGUACGGCCGCAAGGCUAAAACUCAAAGGAAUUGACGGGGGCCCGCACAAGCAGUGGAGCAUGUGGUUUAAUUCGACGCAACGCGAAGAACCUUACCUGGGCUUGACAUGU
rnacentral:rRNA from 1 species